rnacentral:rRNA from 1 species
GAUGAACGCUGGCGGCGUGCCUAAUACAUGCAAGUCGAGCGAAUGGAUUAAGAGCUUGCUCUUAUGAAGUUAGCGGCGGACGGGUGAGUAACAAGUGGGUAACCUGCCCAUAAGACUGGGAUAACUCCGGGAAACCGGGGCUAAUACCGGGUAACAUUUUGAACCGCAUGGUUCGAAAUUGAAAGGCGGCUUCGGCUGUCACUUCUGGGUGGACCCGCGUCGCAUUAGCUAGUUGGUGAGGGAACGGCUCACCAAGGCAACGAUGCGUAGCCGACCUGAGAGGGUGAUCGGCCACACUGGGACUGAGACACGGCCCAGACUCCUACGGGAGGCAGCAGUAGGGAAUCUUCCGCAAUGGACGAAAGUCUGACGGAGCAACGCCGCGUGAGUGAUGAAGGCUUUCGGGUCGUAAAACUCUGUUGUUAGGGAAGAACAAGUGCUAGUUGAAUAAGCCGGCACCUUGACGGUACCUAACCAGAAAGCCACGGCUAACUACGUGCCAGCAGCCGCCGUAA